rnacentral:tRNA from 1 species
GUAGAAUGAAGCUCGUUGGAUAGAGCGUUUAGCUGUUAACUAAAAUGUUGCGGGAUCGAGGCCCGUCUUUCUAGG